rnacentral:rRNA from 1 species
CAAAGAACUUUGAAGAGAGAGUUUAACAGGGCGUGAAACUGCUUAGAAGGAAACAGACGGAGCUGAAAAGUCAAUUUCCGGAUUCAGCUUAGCUCAAGCUUGCUUGGGUUAAGUGCACUUCUGGUUGUUGCGCGUUACGAUCAAUAUAUUUUUUGGAAAAGUCGUUGCAGCGCCGGCUGGCUUCUUCGGAAGUUAGUGUCCUCUGCGAUGAUUUUUCCGUUUAAAGUAUAUUGAAGACGAGUUGUGCCCGCAUGUCUUGUGUUAUUGGAGUGCUUCUUGGUAGUCUGCAAGUUCUAAUUGCAGAGCGUGCAGACUACCAAGAAUUUGCUUUUAUAACUCAAGUGGCACGUGCGAGUCUGUAGCGUCUGAGUCAGCCACCCGUCUGACCCGUCUUGAAACACGGACCAAGGAGUCUAACAUGUGCGCAAGCCACUGAGUGGUAAACUCAAAGGCGAAAUGAAAGUAAAUGCUAGUUCCGCUAGCUGAGGUAAGAUCCUGUUAGCAGGCGCAUUACCGUCCCGUCCUAUGGGUAUUGUCCCUUGGGUGGAGAUAGAGUGUACAUGUUGGGACCCGAAAGAUGGUGAACUAUGCUUGAGCAGGAUGAAGCCAGAGGAAACUCUGGUGGAGGUCCGUAGCGGUUCUGACGUGCAAAUCGAUCGUCAGACUUGAGUAUAGGGGCGAAAGACUAAUCGAACCAUC